rfam:Burkholderia glumae PG1 chromosome 2, complete sequence.
CCGCGCUUCGGAGAUGGCAUGCCUCCGCCCCCAACCGCCGGUCAGCCGGCUGAUGAUGCCUACGGAUCC